CGGGGAUCGAACUCAGGUCCUUGCGCUUGAGCAGCAGGCAGCGAAACCACUGAGCUAAAUCCCCGGCCCAAAGAGAGGCUUUCUUAUCUCACCUCCACACAUCUGUUCUCCUGUGUGAAACUGUUUAAGUCACACGGCACCGUCUGGCAGUCGCCAUGCGCGCACGUGCUGAGCCCAGACAGCCAUCCCUCCGCUGUCCUCUCCCAAGGCUGCAUAAACUGCGUUUCACCUCCACUGCAGAGGGCAGAGGCGAAGGCCACAGUGGGCCACAGAAACUGGUGCUCUGAACCAGCAGGGAUUACCUCGGGGAGGUUCACCAAGAUUUCGCUAAGGACAGAACUUGAGCCUCGGCACACCAGUGUGAACCUAUUCCCAACAAUGGAGUUGGCUGGAGACUCUGGAAAUCCAGGCUUUGCACUGUGAUCUGCCUUAUGAAGACUCUGAAUGCUGUGGUCUCAUCAGGAUGCAGGAGAUGGGCCAGCACUUAACAGAGAGGAGUCUGCUCUGUCUCUAGUCAGCACUUUCCUUGGUUACAGUUAAGAAAUGGGUGAGACUGAUUUGUAGAAUUUAUUCCAGUGAAAAUGCUAGCAUUAGUUUUGGAGCAAGCAGGAGUUUUGAAGAGAACCAUGUUCUUCCCUGGCAGGGCCAAAGCAUCAGUGAUGCUUCUGUAAUGAAGCAGCUGGAGUGAGACUCCAGAUCUCAGGCUGAGAAGCCCUAACAAGUUUUUUCUACUUGCCCCAAACCUUCAGGAGCACAUUGGCUUGCCACAGCCCAGCUUCAUUGGGAUCCUCAGCUCCACAUGCCUCCCUCAGCGUGAUUCCAGCACUGCCUACCUUGAGGGGAUGCAGAGGGAUCCCCACACAGGAGUGUGGCAUUUCACUGCCCCUGGCUGCUUUAGAAAGAGGUAUCAAGUCAGGCGUGGAGCCAAGUGCCUGUGAUCCCAGCACUCUGGGAGGCUGAGGCAGGACAAGUUCCAGUCCAGCCUGGGAAACUUGAGUCACUUAGCAAGACCUAAUUCUAAAAAAGGGGGGAGGGGGCUGGAGAUGUAGCUUAGUGGGAAGGCCCGCCGGGUGCAACAUUCACUAGGAAGGGAAAAAAAAAUGUGGUGUCAGGCAGCAAGUACAGAGCCUCACAGGCAGGUGGGGCUGCUCAGCUCCCCCACGUGGUGCAAGCCCUGGUCUGCUCAGGUGGCUUCCAGGAAGGACCCUGAUGUGCGAAGCACCAGUGUGUGCUCUGUGGGGCAGUGGCUCCUGGAGGGAGGGCACUGGCAGCAACAGAGCUCCAAACUCUGGUGCAUGAAAUACAAAGAAAACAGCAGCACUGGUGACAACACAUUUAUUUAUGUACCCUGUUGUGUAACUGGGAGGUGCUUUUCAUUUUCCAAUCGAUCAGUCAAAACAAUUAAAUUCCAGAAGGUAAACUAGUGUUUUAUUGUUGCUCAUAAGCACAGGUAAACAAACGGCAGCACAGCAAGGAAUGCUAGACACGUCUCAACUUUUGGUGGUUUAGGUAUGGUCCGCCAGGCUUUGGCAACAUAUCUGAUACAGAGGUUACUGCUAAGAUUCCAAACCUCAUGGUUUCCUUCAGACACAACAGGAAAACUUUGGACGUAACUUCUGAAUUUCAGAAAUUGAACCAAGAUUCUUGGAAAGUUGCAAGAGGC
rnacentral:lncRNA from 1 species